UACGUAGGCAGCAAGCGUUGUUCGGAAUUACUGGGCGUAAAGAGUGUGUAGGCGGUGCUCUAAGUUCGGUGUGAAAUCUCCCGGCUCAACUGGGAGGGUGCGCCGAAAACUGGAGUGCUGGAGCGCGGGAGAGGAAAGCGGAAUUCCUGGUGUAGCGGUGAAAUGCGUAGAUAUCAGGAGGAACACCGGCGGUGUAGACGGCUUUCUGGACCGUAGCUGACGCUGUGGCGCGAAAGCUAGGGGAGCAAACGGG
rnacentral:rRNA from 1 species